GACGAUGCAACCGCAGAGGAUUUAUACAACUUUGAUGUGUCUGUUGCUCUAACGGAAAUACAGUUAGACGAAACAGACGCUGAAUUCACCGAAGCUAUACAAGAAAUUGAUGGCGAGAGGGUUUUUCCUUUUAGUCAGUGAGAGAUAGUGUGCAAGUCUAUAAAGUAAAGGGAGAGACAAAACUCGUGCUGCGUUGACUAUUAGAGGACGUGGUUUGAUUAUAUUACACCGAUUCAGGUCAGUUUGGCUACUGUUUCCUCUACUGAUGCUUUCUUCGAUGCUUUGCAUGGCCACUUUACACAACAUUCUGUCCAAGGAACAAUCAAGAUAAACUUUUAGAAUGUUUUUAUAUGGCUUGAUUCCUCGUUUGUGUGAGCAGCUAUAAAAUUGUGUGAGCAGCUAUAAAGUAGCAAAUAUAUUCCUGAGCAUAUUUGAUCGGAUUUUUAUAAAACACUACACCAGCAAAAUGUCGGCAUUGUUGGAAAAUGCUGUGAUUUUUCGUGAAGUUCAACCCUCGAACUCUGCACAGAAACUGUACGGAAAAUAUAGUUAAACUUUAUUUAACAGUCGGAGCAUUUUCCUACACCAGAGACUUUAUUACUAUUAAAGAUGCGGCAUGUACAGUCCAAUCUGUGCAUGUGCACACAGGAGUCCCCUUUUCAGUGGCGGCGCCAGGGGGGGGCAAAUGCCCCCCCCCCAAUUUUUUUUGCCCCCCCCCAUUUUGCCCCCCUCAAGGGGGGGUGUAGCUAAAGGCUACACAAGUGUUCUGUCGUUAUCGGAAAAUGUAUGGCUUAUAAGUUGUCAUU